rnacentral:rRNA from 1 species
UACGUAGGGUGCAAGCGUUGUCCGGAAUUAUUGGGCGUAAAGAGCUCGUAGGCGGUCUGUCGCGUCGGAUGUGAAAAUCCAGGGCUCAACCCUGGACCUGCAUUCGAUACGGGCAGACUAGAGUUCGGUAGGGGAGACUGGAAUUCCUGGUGUAGCGGUGAAAUGCGCAGAUAUCAGGAGGAACACCGGUGGCGAAGGCGGUUCUCUGGGCCUGUACUGACGCUGAGGAACGAAAGCGUGGGGAGCGAACAGG